rnacentral:rRNA from 1 species
GAGAUUCCCCCAGUAGCGGCGAGCGAACGGGGAGCAGCCCAGAGCCUGAAUCAGUGUGUGUGUUAGUGGAAGCGUCUGGAAAGGCGCGCGAUACAGGGUGACAGCCCCGUACACAAAAAUGCACAUACUGUGAGCUCGAUGAGUAGGGCGGGACACGUGGUAUCCUGUCUGAAUAUGGGGGGACCAUCCUCCAAGGCUAAAUACUCCUGACUGACCGAUAGUGAACCAGUACCGUGAGGGCAAGGCGAAAAGAA